ACGCUGGCGGCAGGCCUAACACAUGCAAGUCGAGCGGUAGAGAGAAGCUUGCUUCUCUUGAGAGCGGCGGACGGGUGAGUAAUGCCUAGGAAUCUGCCUGGUAGUGGGGGAUAACGUUCGGAAACGGACGCUAAUACCGCAUACGUCCUACGGGAGAAAGCAGGGGACCUUCGGGCCUUGCGCUAUCAGAUGAGCCUAGGUCGGAUUAGCUAGUUGGUGGGGUAAUGGCUCACCAAGGCGACGAUCCGUAACUGGUCUGAGAGGAUGAUCAGUCACACUGGAACUGAGACACGGUCCAGACUCCUACGGGAGGCAGCAGUGGGGAAUAUUGGACAAUGGGCGAAAGCCUGAUCCAGCCAUGCCGCGUGUGUGAAGAAGGUCUUCGGAUUGUAAAGCACUUUAAGUUGGGAGGAAGGGCAGUUGCCUAAUACGUAGCUGUUUUGACGUUACCGACAGAAUAAGCACCGGCUAACUCUGUGCCAGCAGCCGCGGUAAUACAGAGGGUGCAAGCGUUAAUCGGAAUUACUGGGCGUAAAGCGCGCGUAGGUGGUUUGUUAAGUUGGAUGUGAAAUCCCCGGGCUCAACCUGGGAACUGCAUUCAAAACUGACUGACUAGAGUAUGGUAGAGGGUGGUGGAAUUUCCUGUGUAGCGGUGAAAUGCGUAGAUAUAGGAAGGAACACCAGUGGCGAAGGCGACCACCUGGACUGAUACUGACACUGAGGUGCGAAAGCGUGGGGAGCAAAC
rnacentral:rRNA from 1 species